UGACUAUAAUACAGUGUUUGCCUCUGCAUCCGUCCACAGCCGUUCAUUGCUUAGCAUUCAUACUCCUGUGUACCUCUCUAAAACACGUACCACUAUGGAUAAGUACCUCAUACAACCAACCUUCAAAAACACCCACACGGACCCUUUACUGACAAAUGGCAAGUUGCUGUUACACAGGAACCUCUUUGCCUGCUUAGCUGUCUUUGUAAAGUAUGUGCUCGUGUCUGUGAUAAUGUACAGUAAGUAAACACUAUUCACUAUAUAAUGCUGCUAAUUAGCUCCGACAAUUUGAGACUUGAGUUUCAGUGUCUUUUUCAUUCAGGGUUGCAAGAUUUGUUGUACCUUACCUUUGCUGCUGUUGUGGUGUCUUUUCGUUUCAUUGCAUCCCUUAGUAGAGUGCAGCUGUAUUUUCUUUAUUUUUAAUUCCUUUGUGUUGCUUAAUACCUCAAAAAGAUCGCAGUGGCCUUUUUAUCAGCAGAAAAAUCUGUUUGUUUCUGCAUGAUCAAAAUGUAGACAAAAUCCAAUCAGCUGAUUUAAAAAUAACUGCAAUGUCACUUUUUACAAAUUCCUGGUAUAUUAUUAUUACAACAAUAUAUACAGUAAGUUGCGUAGUUUAAAACCAAUGUAUAACAACUGUGGUACUUCCUGUACCUUGUAUAUGUAGAUGUCAGUAGUGUAAAUGUUAUAGAACUCCUUCAUAAUAUCAUGGAGUAGAUGUGCACGUAGCUAAUGUUUAUGCUAAUCGACGACCAGCGCUAAUGCUAUGAAACAAAAGCAUUGAGUGCAACUGAAUAUUUUAUUUUGAUUUCAUUUUUCUACCAUGAAAAGUCAAUGCCUGAAUUGACCAUUUUUCAGCUUUUCUGACCAUUUCACACCACUUGCCUUUCAAUCUGCAUUGUGCCAUUGCCUUGAUGGCAACAACUUUCACAACAGUGCAUUGCCUUAAAGCUUCUUUAAUGUGUCCGAUCCAUCACCAGUAGAAACUCCUUUGUCGUAAAGGAGAGUAGUAAUCUUACCUACAUUCCUUCACAAACAGCUAGUUGGUGAUUCACUCUGUAAAUAAUGUAAAGACAUAGUAUUUUUCUGACUAUAAAUAUGUUUACAUAGCAUUACAAUGAAGGGUAAGGUAUGAGAGAGCACAGUUGUUUUCCAUAGGUCAAAGCCUGCAUGUUUCAUUCGAUCUGCCCGGGGUGUUGGCAUGCUUUGGGUAUCUUCCUCUUCCCUGUGAUGCAAAUGAAGUCGAUGAACCGGUGAAACAGAAAAAGCCCAGUCACAUGUCCCUGUGUGUGUGUGGCCUCAUUUACAACUUCACAGAGGAUCAGUUCAAGGAAGCACUGAAAUUAUGCAUACAUUCAACUUUCAUUUAGCUAAACAUCUUGUGGAAAUUUGUCUUUUAAUCUUAAAAAAAAAAAAAAAAAAGGAACUUUAUAUGUUUGCAGCUCAGUGGAAGUGAGUAUUUGAAGCAGAGUUCAAGUACUAAUUUAACUUUUCCACAUUAUCAUAACAUGAAAGGUAGGAACAUUUGGUAUAUUGCUGUACAUUUUGAUUUAAAAGCAGAAUUUUGACUUAUUGAAUCCUACGCAACUGACACAGCUGUCAGCCUUUUGGGCAGAACAUGAAAUAUUUACACCAGUGAUAAAGUUUCAUAUAAAUAUGGCAAGCUGUUUUAACUAAUACACCACAUAUACUCCUGCAGAUAUCAGUCAUAUCUUGGCAGGACAAAUGAUAUGGUUAUGUUUGCCCUUUUAACAUAUGUAUUGGGCUUUCAGAUGUCCUAUAUCUAUAAUUCUUACAUGAAAAAAAAACAAUACAACAAUCUACAAUACAAUCAUUACUUAUAACCUUAAAUUUCAGAUAUCUCUAUUUUAUUUUCAGUGUCUAAAAUAACAUCCAUCAUUAUGAAUAUCAACAACUGACAUGAUCAUAUCUACAAUUAAAAUUAUGACCAGAAACAAUGCAACUGUAGAUUCAACGGCUUUAACAUAAAAAGGUUAAUAUUAUAGAUAUCCAUUAUCACAUUUCGACUACUUAAAUUGUCUUAUGUUUUAGAAUGGUGGUCAAUCCCUCCAACAAUUAAUACUUGCAAUUUUGUUCAAUCAUUACAACUUUUUUACACAUAUCAACAAAUCAACAUAAUUUCUUAGUUUUACCAUUUCUGAAAUCUAAAAUGUUCUUGCAGUUAUGAUAGAAAAGUGAUUUAUACUUAAGCAGCUUGCCAUAUGGGGAAAACUUUUGCGUCUGUAUCCAAGGUAGAAAAUUAAUCCGUGCUACAACAACAAAGCUUUGCAAAUUACACUUUCUGUCUCCACCAGUUAAGCAGCCACAAAAGUACUGCAGUCCUUUAGUGGCUCUGGUUCCAAGUCUGACUCCAGUGCACUCAGUCCUUUGGCUCCUUUGUGUAUCCCACAAUGCCCCCUGCUGCCGUAACGGUGCUGCUUUCAACGGCUGCUCUUUAAAUAAUACCGGACGGGUUUACAGCAGCAGAGCCAAUGGUGGAGUCCAAACACUGGAUUUCUCCUUCCACAGCUUCCUUGUUAUAGCAUAGUUACCAUAGCAACACAGUCUAAACAUCAAUUACCGUGAUGGACAAAGAGGCCCGUAUAGUAAAAAGGUCAAUGCUGUUCCCACACUUUAUUAGAUUACAACUCCUGGAACGCCUUGUUUUCAUACAACUGGAAGUUUAUAAUAUGUGACGUUAAUAUUAUUUGAGUAUCUUAUGUCUUAUCUGUGUUCAUUUGAAUUUUAAGAUUAUAACAUGCCCCAUCUGUGAUUUCUUAUUUUUAUUUUGCCUUAAAAGUCAUUUUAUGUUCUGACAGAAUUUCACCACUGAUGUCCUUUUUCUGGAAAGGUAUGACUAGUUACUGUUUCCAUCUUGAAUGUGAUUGAUGGUGAUGAGAAUCUGUCCGCUGUAGUUUUCACACCUGAAGCAAAUAGGUGCUGUGCUGCUCUGCUUGGUCUUUUACAAUCUCAUAAUGAAAACAGAGAAGACUGAUCACUAUGUUAAAUGGUCAUAACUGAUCAUUAGACCGCAGGGCUGUAAAUUGUGAUGUUACUGUUGCAGUUUAUAUUUCGGGUGAUGACGUCCAAGAGAUAAAUAAAAUCACAUGUUGCUGUGUAAACUGAAAA